GUCUACAGCCAUGCCACCCUGAACGUGCCCGAUCUUGUCUGAUCUCGGAAGCUAAGCAGGGUUGGGCCUGGUUAGUACUUGGAUGGGAGACCACCUGCUGUAGGCG
rnacentral:rRNA from 1 species